AGCGAACGCUGGCGGCAGGCCUAAAACAUGCAAGUCGAACGCCGUAGCAAUACGGAGUGGCAGACGGGUGAGUAACACGUGGGAACGUGCCCUUUGGUUCGGAACAACACAGGGAAACUUGUGCUAAUACCGGAUAAGCCCUUACGGGGAAAGAUUUAUCGCCAAAGGAUCGGCCCGCGUCUGAUUAGCUAGUUGGUGAGGUAACGGCUCACCAAGGCUACGAUCAGUAGCUGGUCUGAGAGGAUGAUCAGCCACACUGGGACUGAGACACGGCCCAGACUCCUACGGGAGGCAGCAGUUAGGAAUCUUGGACAAUGGGCGCAAGCCUGAUCCAGCCAUGCCGCGUGAGUGAUGAAGGCCUUAGGGUUGUAAACUCCUUUCGAUCGAGACGAAUGGUCUCCGGGUGAACAGCC
rnacentral:rRNA from 1 species